rnacentral:tRNA from 1 species
GGUUUGUGGCUCAGUGGUACAAUGCUUGCCUAGCAUGUGUGAGGCACUGGGUUCAAUUCUCAGCACCA